rnacentral:lncRNA from 1 species
UUAGAAUCAGUAAUAGGUUGAUAAUAGGUUAUUAACAGGUUACCUCUAUGUACCGUUGGUUAGGGUUAGGUCAGUAAUAGGUUGAUAAUAGGUUAUUAACAGGUUACCUCUAUGUACCGUUGGUUAGGGUUAGGGUCAGUAAUAGGUUAUUAACAGGUUACCUCUAUGUAUCGUUGGUUAGGGUUAGGGUCAGUAAUAGGUUAUUAACAGGUUACCUCUAUGUACCGUUGGUUAGGGUUAGUAAUAGGUUGAUAAUAGGUUAUUAACAGACGACCUCUAUGUAUCUGUUGCCCAUGUGGUGUUUGUGUCUCUGCAGGGCCAUGUCUCUGUGCUCUUCACUGAUGAAGCGGACCAUAGCCUCUCCGUUCCUCCGACCCUGGGCGUUCAGACACAACGCAGCGCCACCUCUGGACAACACACAGCAUUACAGCUAUUAAAACAAUUUCAAUACACUACACACCAUCAUAACAGCAACGAGUCAAACACAACAGACAACACACCACUAGACACUGAACACACAUACUUGGCAAUGUUGAGUCCUCUGAAGAAGCGAGCGAUGUCCUGGUCAGAUGACUGCCACGGCAACCCCCUCGCUCUGAUCACUGUGUUGUCACACACACGCUCCAUCUUACUGCUACACACACACACACGUGCACACGGAC